GUUGAACGCUGGCGGCGUGCCUAAUACAUGCAAGUCGAGCGAACAGACGAGGAGCUCGCUCGUCUCGCGUGAGCGGCGGGCGGGUGAUUCACACGUGCAUGACCUAUCUAUAGGACUGGGACAACUUCGGGAAUCCUGAUCCCACACCGGAUCAGAUGUGGAACGGGGGGGAUCAAUAGUGAAAGACGGUUUUGCUGUGACGUAUACAGGGUUCCGCGCCGCAUUAGCUAGUUGGUAAGGUAACGGCUUACCAAGGCAACGAUGCGUAGCCGACCUGAGAGGGUGAUCGGCCACACUGGAACUGAGACACGGUCCAGACUCCUACGGGAGGCAGCAGUAGGGAAUCUUCGGCAAUGGGCGCAAGCCUGACGGAGCAACGCCGCGUGAGUGAUGAAGGUCUUCGGAUCGUAAAGCUCUGUUAUUAGGGAAGAACAAAUGUGUAAGUAACUAUGCACGUAUUGACGGUACCUAAUCAGAAAGCCACGGCUAACUACGUG
rnacentral:rRNA from 1 species